AUGGCGCGCGGCGGCGGCGGCGGAGUCGAGUUUCGGCCGCCUCCUGAGAUGGCGAUGGAAGAGAUGGAUCGGCAGCCUGUUGUUGUUUCCGAAGCAAGAAUCCUGAGGAUGGAGAUUGCGUCCCUGGUGAACUUGCUCAUCGAGAAACAAUCUGACGUUCUUUCCUACGAUCCCGAGAUCGUGAGGAAGAUCACGUCCCUGAGGAGCGAGAUCGCGUGCCAGAAGCUGGCGAGGGAGCGCAAACCCUUGGUUACGGAGGUCAAACGCACAGUGCCGCGGAGGCGCAAAAAGUUUUAUGCAGUGCAGAGGGUCGCUGAGAAGGAGAUCAUGGCCGAUCAGGAGAGCGUGGAUCUGCCUAACUCCGAUACGCAUAGUGUGACCUCCCAAGUCAGUUGCAUCUCCGAGCAGUUGCCCGAGCCCUGCGACUAG
rnacentral:rRNA from 1 species